AUACGUAUGUUCCAAGCGUUAUCCGGAUUUAUUGGGCGUAAAGCGAGCGCAGACGGUUAUUUAAGUCUGAAGUGAAAGCCCUCAGCUCAACUGAGGAAUUGCUUUGGAAACUGGAUGACUUGAGUGCAGUAGAGGAAAGUGGAACUCCAUGUGUAGCGGUGAAAUGCGUAGAUAUAUGGAAGAACACCAGUGGCGAAGGCGGCUUUCUGGACUGUAACUGACGUUGAGGCUCGAAAGUGUGGGUAGCAAACAGGAUUAGAUACCCUGGUAGUCCACACCGUAAACGAUGAGUGCUAGGUGUUUGAGGGUUUCCGCCCUUAAGUGCCGCAGCUAACGCAUUAAGCACUCCGCCUGGGGAGUACGACCGCAAGGUUGAA
rnacentral:rRNA from 2 species